AUUGUUUGUGAGGACUGAAGAUCUAGAACGGAGUCAGCAGAACAUCAUUGGACUCUCAGUGGCGUUCUGGAGCUGGGGCAAACAAACCUGCUCAUCGCAACCAUUAUACCUAAUCUCUGAGGGACCCACAUAAUAAGGUAGUGGGUCAAUGUCAACCUGUUCAGCGCUGUCCUGUAAAGAACAGAGCAAGAUCACUCAGACUGUCAAGAAUGAAUCUCACUCCUGACAUAGUGACUGAAAGCCUCUUCUUCCAGUUGGUAUCAUUUGCUGAUCAUAGGAGUUCCCCUCUUUUGCUACACCCCAGAAAGGUCAGACCAAUUAAGUUUCACCAUGGAGAUCUAAGCAAUUGUUUCAGUUUGUGUUAGAAUGCAGACAAAAAACAAUGUUUACAAAGUCAAGCACUACUUAAAGGUAGUGUAACAUCUCUUUCUUACCUCUUCUCUUCUGUUAAUUGCCUUUUGUCACACUCAGCUUCCAAAUGUCUUCCUAUUAUGUCAUAAACACUGCAUAGACAAGAGAGAUCAAGGUUGCCUGAGCUGCAUGAUUUUUCUGUUACUCUAGGCCCUUACUAGGAUCCAGGUCCACCAGUAACUGCUUGUCCGAUAUCUUCGUGUAUGUAGUAGCCAGGCUGGUAGUGUUCUGACUAGCGUCCAAAAGAUCUCCUGUGUCUAGAAAAAAAGAGAACGGGGGGGAAAAAAAAAGCCCUUUGAGAAACUUUUUCCAGAAUUAUUAAUAUUCCUAUUAUCUAUAUCUCCUUUCUAAGUAAUUAAUAAUUAGUAAAAUAAUUGGGAGAUGCAUUGAAAUUAAAAAAUACAUUAUUUUAUUUAUUUUUGACUAUAUUUCAGCUUAUAUUUGGUAAAAUCAAAAUAUAUUGACAGAUAAAAUUAUACAAAUAAUUGAAAUAAAAAAGAAUAUUCCUGUCUGAAAACAAGCAAAGAUAUUGGUAGGAAUUUUUGAGGUGUGGCCUAAAUCACCAUUUUUCCAUGAAAAAAGAUUUGACAAAAAUAUUGCCUACUUCUGCCUAGUACCCACCCACUUCAGGUUUUUUUCAGUUGUGUUGCACCUCUGUGAAACAGUCUUAAACAAGGUCUUUGCAUUGUCCACUAUUCCAUCAUGUUACAUUUUUCCCUUAGAUUAAUUAAAUUCAUUCCACAACUACUGAUUCUUCUCAGAUUUCAAACCCUAAAAACCUAUGACUAUGCAAGGACAUUUUACAUGAACUUAUAGUGGAUUUAAAUAGCACAAGUGGCAGCAGUCUGAUAUAGAAUAUACCAUGAUCUAAUAAUAAAUUAAAUAAAUCUGAGGCUUGAAACCAAAACUCAAUUAAAGAUUAAUGGAUAAAAAAUUUAAAAAUAAAAUUGAAUAAACUAGGCAAAAGCUUGAUUAAAUCCAGAACUACCAAUGAAACAGCCUUAGAUCACUCACUGCAAAGAAAGUCAAACUGUCACAACAGUGUCACAACCAGCCAAAGCAGAUCUUCACUAAAAACAUACCACAACAUGGUGCAACCAGGAACUGGAUGAUAUUUUCUUCAUUUACUGAAGGUGAUUUUUCAUCCUUUUCUAGCUGUACUUGUCACAGAUCCUCCAUUGUUUAGGUAAGCUAUUCAUUACUUUUUUUAGCGAAAAACAUCUAUUAUUGGAAACAUGUAUUGGAAACAUUGGAAAAAUAUAUUAUGGAAUGUGUAGUGAUAAGUCUUUUUUUCUUAAGGUUUGCUCAGACUAGUAAAACAUAAAAAAGUUGCCACACAUUUGGGAUAUCUGUGAUUAUACUAACACUCUUCCCCAAGUCUUCUCUCACUCUGCAAGUUACAUAACUAUGUUUUAUAAUAAGACAUAAAUAGUUCCAUACAAUAAUGAAACUCUAACCAUGCUUUGUUCUACUUCCAUCACUGUCCCUCCUUCAUUCUCUGUAGUCUGACUACCACCAUCACCUUAUCAGACAUCUUGACAGUAUAAUUGAAAACAAGUAUCAGUAAGGAGGGGAAUGUGUCAAGGAAAGCUGUAUUUCAUCUGAGUCUUUUCUUCACAACCUUUCUGUUAAAAGGUCAUACUUGUACAAUCAGAUUGAACAAGCAUGUUCAUCUGUUUCAACAACCCUGGCAGAUGUUUCUAAGUUUCUUUUCUUGAAAACUGGAACUAUUCCCUUGCUAAUAUAACCCUCAAUGAUUUGUUUCCUUUUAGAGAAGUAGUAACAUCAUUUUUUAAAUUUAAAAUGUCUUCUCAUGACCAGAUGGCAUGCAAAGAUUAACAUUAGUUACCAUUUUUUGAUCAACAAAAACGCACGUAGAAAACUGUCCUGGAUGUAAGUAAGUGUUCCACAGCUACUGUGUUAUUUGUUUGCAUACAGUCAAGCUGUUUGAAGCAAUUAAGUCAUGACUUACAUUGCAAAAUCAAAGGAUUUGAAUCUAGGAAAGUUUUGUUGCUAUUUCUUCUCAUUUAUAACUUCAGCAAUAAUAAUUUUAAUUAUCAUAGUGAUCAAAAACAACUUCCUGUGUGAUACACUUUUCUAUUUUCAGAAUUGGCUUGCAGCCUACAUAUUCUGUUUAGGUUACCUCUCUUUGUCUCCAGUUUAUUUUAUUUGUUGUUUUUACUGAAUUUGGAAAUCUUAUUUUUGUUUCUCUUUUUCUGUAUCUCUGUUCUUCCUUUAUAUGGCUUGUCAUUAUUUUAAUAAAUUUACUUAUUUGUCUUUCCUGCA